rnacentral:lncRNA from 1 species
AGAGUGUUGAGAUUCCCAAUGAACACAUGGGAGUUCAUGGAGCAAGGAUUUGUCUUGUUGGUAACGUUGCUGGCCAUUGUGUUUGCUGAUAAGGUUUCUCACAAAGCUGAAAACAGGAGGGGGAGGGAGAAGAGAUUCGAUUCUGAGUCUCCUACUCCCGGGUUCUACAUGGAGAAGCCAACUGCUGCUCAAGGUCACCAACACGGCCACAACCACUCAGUCUUCGUCUCUUCACAAAAAAAUCAAUAGUAGGUUUUUUUCCUCACCUGUGUAACAUCUUGUCACUCCAGAUAAACACCACCAUCCCUGAGCUGGACUUGACCCAAGUUCCCUGGUCACAUCUCCAUGGCUUCCAAGUAGAUGACAGCAUCCUGGCUGGGCUAUCAGGUCCCAGGAUGCAAUGAUAUUACAGAAAUAGUUCCUGUGGCCCCAUAAGUCUACAGGAUUGAGGCUGCUUCUCACCUCUGUCUCCUUCCAAAUUGGCUCUGGAACAGGGAUAGGCUGUAAUAUAUAGAUGGGACCCUCAGAACCUCUACCUGAGGGGUUCAGGGGAGCCAGAGGCAGGUAACACCAGGCAGGAUCCUCCUUGAAUUCAUCCUUUAUGCCUUUAACAAAGUAACCAAGCACAUGCUCUAGCGAUAAUCAAUUUAGGCACAUCCCACAGAUUCCAGCUUCUCUGCCACCAACCACCAGGCAUGAUCUAAGCAAGCUCUUUCACCUCUUGGAGCCUUAAUUUUCUCAUCUACAAAAUGGAAUAACGCGAUCAUCCUUGAAGCCAUGAAUAUCAAUUAUUACAGAAAUGAAAAGGGAUCCUGCACCCAAAUUCAAAUCAAGCAAGUUCACCUAGAGGUUGCCGUGGGGUGGAGGGCCCAGAUCUGGGCUGUUUGGAUCUCUCUGCAGGAUGAAAGGGAUUUCCUGGACCUGGCUUUGCUGUCCCUUGCUCCUUUUGUAAGCAUCUGACUCUUCCUCUAUCCAUAAAGAUGAAGACAUUCUUUCGCAGGGAUUUAAUAUUGGGGCUGCAUGCCUGGCCCCUGAGAAAGCCCAAGCUUCCUCCUCCUUUUGAAUCGAACCCAGUGCAGCUUUAUGCGCUCCAGACGAGCCUGCAUUCCCCCUAAUGCCCCUGGAAUUGCUUACUCACACCAAAAUCCGCUGCCUCAGGCGUUUCCAGCCAGAGGUAAGCCUUCUUUUCAUGGGCAAUCAGGCAGUAGCCUGGAGCACAGAGGGGAAGGGGGGCACCUGCAUGCCCGGCUGGGUCUCUGUAGACAGUGGAUCAUGCGAGGCCUCCCCUCUCCUUGACCCUGUGUGAUGAGCCCUGGGAGGAGGCACCCAGGCCAGGGGAGGAGCUGCGUAGUGACAGAAAGGGCAUCUACAUCUCUACCACGUAAGUGGGGAAACUGAGGCUGGGCCUAGCACCAGAUCACUCAUGUUGAAACCUAGGUUUGAACUGGGUCUCUGAAUCCCCAUCCAGAGCUCACUGCCUUAAGGCUGAGGUGCCUGUGAGUGUCUGAGGACCCUUACUAUGAGACAGUGUUAUCGCUGACUUACAGUCUGGGUAAAGAAGGUGAAUGCAGUCAGAGGAGUAGAUUCAGGUGUCAGACAUUUGCAUAAAAUACCAAUUGCUCCUCAUGUUGGGGAGGUAAUUCACAAGCUUGAAUCUCUAAAAGGCUGCAUCUGGUGGAGGGCGGGGCUAUGUGUCUGUGCACGUCUGGUCUUUGGAGUUCUUAUUCAGCAAAUAUUGAUUGCAAGCCCACCAUGUGCCAGGCAUCAUGCCUGGGGCUUGGGAUCCAGAGAUGAAGAGACAGUCAACCAAGUCCAUCAGGCUCUGCCAACCCCUGUAGUGUGAGUGGUGGUUGGAGCACGUGUUAUACCCCCAAAAGGUGGGCUUGGCCAAGCCCUUCCACUUACCAGCCAUGUGUCCUUCUGGAUGGCAGUUUCCUCAUCUGCAAAAUGUGUGUAGCCCUAAGACCUGUCACCCAGGACCAUUUGGGAGGUCAGCUGUUGUUUUGCAGGUGAAAAGAUCCAUCUGGUCUCUGGGCCUGGCACUCUAUCUAUAAAAUGAGGCUCUACUCCAGCAUGUACCCACGGUGUGCUCUGGGUAGUAAACUGUGGUGGUUUAGCACUUUGCCUUUGGGUCUGACAGUCCUGGAUUCAAAUCCAGACUCUGCCCUCUACUGUGUAACCUGGUGCAUGUCACUUAACCUCUGUGGAACCCAGUAUUCUCAACUAUUAAAUGAGGAUGAUAAUAGUAGUAAUCAUAGUAGUACCUAGCUCAGACUGUUGGUGUAAAAAUUAAAUGAGCUAAUUAAAAUUAAAAAGUAAAGUGUUUUGCACAGAGACACUCCUAGUAAGCCCUGAAGAAAUGAGAGCUAUGCUUUUGAUUAUUAAUAUUCUUAUAAUCCAAAGGAUGAUGCAGGAUUUUUUAAAUCUUUCCACAUGUAUGUUUUUGGACCAGUCCAAAAAAGAAUUGGAAACACACUUAUGCCGCAUAAAGACAGAGUUAUGAGGAACUAUAAAAACAAAAUAAAACCUUUGGAGAAUCAACUGCAAAGACAUGUAUUCUGUUUUUAUUAUAGUUCUGAGCCCAACAGUGUCUCACCAGGUGACUACCUGAGAUAUCCAACAUCAUAUGUCCACCAGAGGGUGGGGAACACUCAGCCCCUUUUUAUCAACACCUUCACUGUCCAGCCAGCCCCUAACUGGCCCCUUUCUGUCUGAAGGAGGUGGCUGAGUCUCUGGGCCGGACUCUCCGCUCCUCCCAGCCGCCUCUGCCUAUCCAUCCCAUGGCCACCUGAGCCGCUCUCCACACUCUUGAACCCAGAGCCAAGACACACAAGUGCUGAGUCUCAUCAGUAACUGCAAUCUCAUGAAAGCACUCUUGGGCCUCAGUCACCUUGAAGAGCAGGAAAGGCUCUGAGGGGACAUUCAUUCCACCCAUCAUCUCAGGUUCCAGUUUGCUUUAAAGGAAACUGAGGCAUCGUAAAAGUUAAAGACAUGUGGAGGAUCAUACCAGAAGUUGAGAGCCCAGCCAAUCUAAGUGCUGGGACUUUCACAGUUGUCAGGGGGCAUUACAGCUGUAUAUUCAAAGCCUCAACUGUAUCUUGCAAUCACCUGGCACAGCUACAGUGCCCAGGCCACACCCUGGACCAAUUAAAUCAGAAUCUCUGGGAAUGAGAUCCAGGCAUCAGUAUCAGAUAGCCAAGCUUAUAUACUCCUGCAUUAAAGUGAGAAGGCCCCCAUGUGAACACUAAAUGCCUUAAUUCACAUUAUUUUUGCACGGUUCUCAAACCUACUCUUGCCCAGCCACAUCCUGAAGAUUCUGAUGUAAUUUGCCAUGCAUCAGGACCCUUCAAAACUCCCAGGUGACUCCAACAAGCAGCUAAGGCUGAGAACCACUGUGUUCAUCUACCACCUUCAUUUAACUUUAAAACUGUAUUUACUCUUUAAGUAAAAUCAUAAUAUUUAAUUGCAGAAAAGAAAAGAAAAAAGUACCUGUUCAGCUGAGAUGCAAUCCAUUGCAUGUUAAUCUGUAUUCACAUUCCAGGAAAUAGAAGCAUUUGUAGUUACAGGAAUUUUUAUCUGUGGUUUUACAUCUUUACACACAGGUGUAUAGACUUGCUUAUGUGUCAGUCCGUUACUGCAAUGUGCCAAUUAAGACAUUUAUUGAGUUUGAUUUGGUAUAAGUAAUUAUGAGUUAUAAAAGAUCAUUCUGAAUCAACAACGUAAUAAAUAACCAUCUUUAAUGUAAUAGAAUAUAAGUUUAGUUAGAGUCAUGAAACCUUCUGUCUCAGCACAUGGUUCCUAUAAACCGAAAAAGACAAAAGCAUUUGGUGAGUAGCUGUCAGCUGAAGAAAAUGUCUGGAAAGGGACUUUCCCUCAAAUCAGACGGAAAUUCCUGCUCUCCCUUUUUUUUUUUUUAAGCAAGAGUACCUAAAAUUCCAAAAAGUCCUAUACCCCUUUAUUCACCUUAUAAAGAAGUCUGUGGAAUAAGCCCCCUUCCCUCACCAACCACCCAACCGCUUUUCUCAAGGGGAGACCCUAAACCCAGUCGCAGAGAGCACAUUUUGAAUAAGCAAAGUGGAGAUCUCACUGACAAAACACAAAGGCUACCCCAGCAUCCUCAGGCAGGGGGCGCAUACCUGGGCCCCCUAUGCCCAAGGUCUCCUCCUGGAAUCCCCUGCUGUCCUCGGGCACCCAGAGCGGGAACGCCAGGUUUUCCCCAUCACGCAAGUGCAGGCGGCGCGGGGGUUCCGGAGGCUGUGAGUGUCAAUCACCUACCCUUAUCAGUUCUCCGUCCAACACUUACAGUCACAAAGCUGGGCUGGAAAAGUGAUAAGGGGACGUGACUGGCCGGCAAAGAAGUUUUGAUGAAGCUUUGCAGGACAAGAUGUAAAUGGACGUUUG